AGAGUGAACGCUGGCGGUAGGCCUAACACGUGCAAGUCGAACGGCAGCACAGUAGGAGCUUGCUCUUACGGGUGGCGAGUGGCGGACGGGUGAGGAAUACAUCGGAAUCUACCUUUUGGUGGGGGAUAACGUAGGGAAACUUACGCUAAUACCGCAUACGCCCUUCGGGGGAAAGCCGGGGACCAGCAAUGGCCUGGCGCUGAUAGAUGAGCCGAUGUCGGAUUAGCUAGCUGGUGAGGUAAUGGCUCACCAAGGCGACGAUCCGUAGCUGGUCUGAGAGGAUGAUCAGCCACACGUGGUACUGAGACACGGUCCAGACCUCCGUAGGGAGCAGCAGGUAGGGAAUAGUUAGGACAAGUCGGGCGACAAGCCGUAGACU
rnacentral:rRNA from 1 species